rnacentral:tRNA from 1 species
UGUUUAAUAAUUUAAGAAAAAUAUUAAAUUGCAAAUUUAAUCUUAUUAAUUUUAUAUUAAUUUAAACUU